rnacentral:snoRNA from 1 species
GGACUAUGAGGAUUGUUUGUGAUAGGUCUCGUUCGUCGUAAUGGCAUGUAUCGUGCCUUGCCGACCAUUCUGAUAUAUCACCACCCAUGAACUGAGUCC